UCAAUGCAACGAGGAUACAGUAGAAU
rnacentral:sRNA from 1 species